GUUAAAUCCAUAAACUAAUGAAUUGUCUCGAUCUUGAAAUGGUUGUACUUUACAAAAGUAUUCAGGGAAGUCAGAUUUGUUACUGCUAGGUAACCAGCACCCCUCAUUAUUAUGUGUAACAUAAAGUAACUUGUAAAGGAGAGUGGUUCUUCCAUGAUGUAAAUAGAAAACCUCUAAAUGUACAAGGUUAUGGUCAUCGGAAGAGAAUGGAUAGGUUUGGGUAGAGAUGUCUGG